CCCCCAGUAAGGGCGACUGAACGGGGAGGAGCCCAGCGCGGAACCUCGCGCGCCUCACCGGCUGCGUCUGAGGAAUGUCGCGUUCCGGAGGGGCCUUCUCCGACCACACGUACCCCCCCCAAGUCCGCUUGAACGCGGCCACUGCCCAUGGAGGGUGCGAGGCCCGUACGGGGAUUAGGAGUCGGGCGGUCGGACGGCCCCGUCCGUAGAGUCGGGUUGCCUACUAACGCAGCCCAAAGCAGGUGGUAAACUCCAUCUAAGGCUAAAUAUGACCACGAGACCGAUAGCGAACAAGU
rnacentral:rRNA from 1 species